rnacentral:misc_RNA from 1 species
UCUCCGUAGGUGAACCUGCGGAGGGAUCAUUACAGAGUUCUCGCCCUCGCGGGUAGAUCUCCCACCCACUGUUAUCGUUACUGUGUUGCUUUGGCGGGCCGCCGGGCCCCGCUCGGCCGCCGGCUCCGGCUGGCGUGCGCCCGCCAGAGGCCCAGCAAACUCUGAAUGUUAGUGUCGUCUGAGUACUAUAUAAUAGUUAAAACUUUCAACAACGGAUCUCUUGGUUCUG